GUAGGCGGACCUGYAAGUCWGUGGUGAAAUCUCAUAGCUUAACUAUGAAACUGCCAUUGAUACUGCAGGWCUUGAGUAAAUUUGAAGUGGCUGGAAUAASUAGUGUAGCGGUGAAAUGCAUAGAUAUUACUUAGAACACCAAUUGCGAAGGCAGGUCACUAAGAUUUAACUGACGCUGAUGGACGAAAGCGUGGGUAGCGAACAGGAUUAGAUACCCUGGUAGUCCACGCCGUAAACGAUGCUAACUCGUUUUUGGAUUUUCKGAUUCAGAGACCAAGCGAAAGUGAUAAGUUAGCCACCUG
rnacentral:rRNA from 1 species